ACGUUUAAGACAUUGUCUAGUACGUGCAUUGCUUUAGAAGUCCACUUAAAAAACAACUAAACAGUGUACAGGCAUACCUCGUUUUAUCGCGCUUCACUUUUCUCGGCAGAUACUGCAUUAAACAUAACUUUUAUAUACGCUGGGAAAUAAAAAAUUUCAUGCGACUUGCUCUAUUGUGAUACUCUAUUGCAGUGGUCUGGAACCAAACCUACUUCCGUCUUUACAUAAAACACCUGAAAUACAAGUCAUCAUUUCUUGCUUGAGUUACUGCAAUAGCUUCCCUCCUUCCACUGUUGUCUUUUUUUUUUUUUUUUUUUUUUUUAGACAUCUCCUGCUUACCAUCCUACAAUGGUUGCCUUUCACAUUUAGAAGGAAAUCCAUAUUCCUUAUUUCGAAAAAGUCCCACACAAGUUUACCUUUCUGUCCCCUCUUCCCUCUGCCCCACCCUCACCUGCUAGCCUAGGAACAUAAGCCGCCUUUGUUUCAAUACAGGAGCACCCAGAUUCAUAAAGCAAGUACUUAAAGACCUACAAAACGUGUAAAAAAGAGACUAAGAACUGGCCUUUCCUUUUUCCUAAGAAUUUUAACAAAUAUUUUUAAAAAUGUAUGUAGAUUGUGUAAGUUCAUUGAGGAUGAUCAGAUAAGGAGAAUGGCUGACUUGACUUAGUAGGACUCUUGCUAAAAUUGGACAAAUAUGAGUGAGUACAUGGGAUAUUUGUCUUUCCGUGCCUGUCUUAUAUCACUUGAUAUCCUUCAGUUCCAUCCAUGUUGUUGC
rnacentral:lncRNA from 1 species